AGAGCGAACGCUGGCGGCAGGCCUAACACAUGCAAGUCGAGCGGCCGUAGCAAUACGGCAGCGGCAGACGGGAUAGUAACACGUGGGAACGCGCCCUUCGGUUCGGAAUAACUCAGGGAAACUUGAGCUAAUACCGGAUACGCCCUUACGGGGAAAGAUUUAUUGCCGAAGGAACGGCCCGCGUCCGAUUAGCUAGUUGGUGAGGUAAUGGCUCACCAAGGCUACGAUCGGUAGCUGGUCUGAGAGGAUGACCAGCAUCACUGGGACUGAGACACGGCCCAGACUCCUACGGGAGGCAGCAGUGGGGAAUAUUGGACAAUGGGCGCAAGCCUGAUCCAGCCAUGCCGCGUGGAUGAUGACGGCCUUAGGGUUGUAAAGUCCGUUUUAACGGGGAAGAUAAUGACGGUACCGUAGAAUAAGCCCGGCUAACUUCGCGCCAGCAGCCGC
rnacentral:rRNA from 1 species